CCGCCCCCCUCCAAAUCCUAUUAUUUACCCGGNGAUUGUUUGUUUGGUUUUAGGUUGGGGUGACCGCGGAGUAUAAGAUAUCCUCCAUGAAAAAAAGCUAACUGCCCUUAUUAGAGAAAGACACUUCCAAAAAAUAAUAAAUUAAUUUUAAAUGAUCCGACAUUCGAUCAACGAACCAAGUUACCCUGGGGAUAACAGCGCAAUCCGUCCCGAGAGCCCCUAUCGACAGGCGGGUUUACGACCUCGAUGUUGGAUCAGGGUAUCCCAGUGGUGCAGCAGCUACUAAAGGUUCGUUUGUUCAACGAUUAAAACCCU
rnacentral:rRNA from 1 species